GCAUUGGUGGUUCAGUGGUAGAAUUCUCGCCUUCCAAGCGGGAAACCCAGCUCCGAAUCCUGGCCAAUGCA
rnacentral:tRNA from 1 species